UAAGGUGCCUAUAGUCCCUAAAUAUAUACCUUCUUUUUCUUGCCUCUCCAUCCCUUGGUUUUUUUUUUUUUUUCUUUAACAAUCUCUAUCCCUUGUUUCUUCCUCAAUUUUAGGCGCUCUCUCCCUCUCUCCAGCACUCUGUUCUCUCACAUCGAAAGGUUCUGCAAACUGCAUCAGGCUGACUAAGGAAAAUGGUUUUUGGUUUAAUCAAUGCCAAUCCCAUUGUCUAUGAAAAAAAGGAGCGUCAAACUAGAACUGCACCGAAUGAUGUCGAUGAGUAUGCUGUGGAGCCCAUUGACCAACUAGAAAUUUUUGAUAUCCUUUGAGUUUGAUUAUUACAUUUGAUGCUCUGUCAUGUCCACUGUGUUUUGUCAGUUAUAAAUCUCAUAAAUCGUAGGUUUCUUUGCAAAUCUUGGUGUUGAAAUUAAAAUUCACAUGUAUGUAAGUGUAUUAGAAAGGAAUAUGUAGUUUAGAUAUGUUGAUCAAAUCAAACUACAUGGGUUGAAGUUCCUAUUCAGCGAAGUUUUGCUGCUUCUCUUGCCCUGAGAGGCAUAACAAAGGGAGCAGAAGCAAUUGUAAGGAAGCACGUGCCGCUAUGUGGUUCAAAACUUUUAUGAGUAUGUAAAACUUCUGUAGCAACUUUUGAAUAUUAAUGACAUGUUAUAGAAAUUAUCUUGAAA